rnacentral:rRNA from 1 species
CGGAGCUUCAUGUAGCUUGCUUUUGAAGAUCAGCGGCGGACGGGUGAGUAACACGUGGGCAACCUGCCUGUAAGACUGGGAUAACUUCGGGAAACCGGAGCUAAUACCGGAUAAUCCUUUCCCUCACAUGAGGGAAAGCUGAAAGACGGUUUCGGCUGUCACUUACAGAUGGGCCCGCGGCGCAUUAGCUAGUUGGUGAGGUAACGGCUCACCAAGGCAACGAUGCGUAGCCGACCUGAGAGGGUGAUCGGCCACACUGGGACUGAGACACGGCCCAGACUCCUACGGGAGGCAGCAGUAGGGAAUCUUCCGCAAUGGACGAAAGUCUGACGGAGCAACGCCGCGUGAGCGAUGAAGGCCUUCGGGUCGUAAAGCUCUGUUGUCAGGGAAGAACAAGUACCGGAGUAACUGCCGGUACCUUGACGGUACCUGACCAGAAAGCCACGGCUAACUACGUGCCAGCAGCCGCGGUAAUACGUAGGUGGCAAGCGUUGUCCGGAAUUAUUGGGCGUAAAGCGCGCGCAGGCGGUUCCUUAAGUCUGAUGUGAAAGCCCCCGGCUCAACCGGGGAGGGUCAUUGGAAACUGGGGAACUUGAGUGCAGAAGAGGAGAGCGGAAUUCCACGUGUAGCGGUGAAAUGCGUAGAGAUGUGGAGGAACACCAGUGGCGAAGGCGGCUCUCUGGUCUGUAACUGACGCUGAGGCGCGAAAGCGUGGGGAGCGAACAGGAUUAGAUACCCUGGUAGUCCACGCCGUAAAACGAUGAGUGCUAAGUGUUAGAGGGUUUCCGCCCUUUAGUGCUGCAGCAAACGCAUUAAGCACUCCGCCUGGGGAGUACGGCCGCAAGGCUGAAACUCAAAGGAAUUGACGGGGGCCCGCACAAGCGGUGGAGCAUGUGGUUUAAUUCGAAGCAACGCGAAGAACCCUUACCAGUCUUGACAUCCGUCUGACAACCCUAGAGAUAGGGCGUUCCCCUUCGGGG